ensembl:snoRNA Gm25663 predicted gene, 25663
UUGCAUGUGGAAGUACCCUCUCCUUCCCUUUGGAGCAGGAAUACAUCCAGAACAUGCUACAUUACAAGAGGAGUUCUCAGGGCUGCCAGCCUUGCAGCAGAGGCUGAGUGGUAGUAUAUUUCUCCUACACAA